GAUUUGUAGAAUGAAUUUUGACAUAUUUUUUUGGAAUUUUAAUUUUUGACCAAAGUGAGGAUUUUGUGAAGACAAAUUUGCAGUUGUUUACGCGCGUACCCGCUUUUUUUAAUAUUUUCGAGUUUUAUUAAGUGAAGAAACUGUAAAUGUGCUUCUUUUAGUCUUCUCGGGAAUUUAAUUACCCGUUUACAUCUAAAACUCGUUCCAAAACUUCGGAAAACUAUAAAAACAUCGCAUUUUGAGGACAACCGGCAGCGACUGUAUUCUAAUGGCUCAUAGAGUACGAGUAGCUCAGCCAAUCAGAUUGCAGUAUUUGCAUUAGUAUACUAGUAGAAGUCUACUGA